CGCGACACAGGCUGUCACGACUCACAACACACACAGAGUGACAGGCUGAGCCUCGUCAACGACUCUUCGAUCCGAUAUCUCUCUCUCUCUCUCUCUCUCUCUCUCUCAAUUUGACUAAACCCUGGCCAUUGAAUCUCCGAUUGAUCUCGUGUGCUGGUGAAAAUGGCGGGAGGAGUGAACAGGAAGAUAUCAGCUAUGGCGGCGAGAGCUCACACCCGAAGAGCCAAGCAAAACAGCUCCUUCCAGCUUCCGGCGGGGAUUUUUAAGACAGCACUAGUAGCAGUUGGUUAUUGGACUUUCGGCAUGGGCAUAUCAGGCAAUCCAACCUCCUCCAUCAAAGAUAUGUGGCUCUCCUGAUGGGCCUCCUGUUACAGGGCCAAGAAUAAAACUUAGGGAUGGAAGGCAUUUAGCUUACCAAGAGCAUGGAGUCCCAAAAGAUAAUGCGCAGCAUAAAAUAGUUUAUCUCCAUGGUAUUGAUAGUUGCAGGCAUGAUGCUGUCAUUCCCAGCUUCCUGUCUCCGGAAGCUGUGAAAGACUUGGGGAUCUACGUUGUGUCUUUUGAUAGACCUGGUUAUGGAGAAAGUGAUCCUAAUCCAGAGCGAACGGUGAAGAGUAUGGCUACAGAUAUAGAGGAGCUGGCUGAUCAAUUGGGUUUAGGACACAGAUUUUAUGUAAUUGGUUUCUCCAUGGGUGGACAGGUGAUUUGGAGCUGCCUCAAAUAUAUCCCUCACCGGAUUGCAGGAGCAGCACUAGUAGCUCCAGUGGUAAACUACUGGUGGACUGGUAUUCCUUCAAAUCUAUCUAGUCAAGCUUACUCCCAACAGCUUCAGCCAGACCAGUGGGCAGUUCGUGUGUCUCACUACACCCCUUGGCUUACGUACUUCUGGAACACUCAAAAAUGGUUUCCUGGUUCAAGUGUUCUGGCUCAAAGUAUAGAUUGUCUUUCUGACCAAGACAAAGAAAUCCUGCCUAAGCUUCAAAAAGAGAACCAUAUGCGGUAUGUACGGCAGCAAGGAGAAUUUGAGUCCAUUUACCGUGACAUGAAUGUUGGAUUUGGGACCUGGGAAUUCAGUCCUCUGGAACUGGAAAACCCAUUCCCUAACAAUGAAGCUUCUGUCCACGUGUGGCAUGGAGAUGAAGAUCGCAUGGUACCCGUUUUACUGCAACGCUACAUUGCUGAACAGCUUCCAUGGAUCCACUAUCAUGAGAUACCAGGUGCUGGACAUUUGUUGGCACUUGCUGAUGGGAUGUGCGAGACCAUUGUCAAGGCACUUUUAACCGACGGAUAGUAAACCUUUCCGCUUACGUAAUGAGCUACCUCAGGGUGAACUUUCUGUGCAUUUCUCCGAUACGGAGUUACUGAAUUUCAGUUGGUCAGUUUGGUAUGUAUGAUAGAUCUUGUACCGGCCAGCGCUGUUUAUAGAUUGUUGCAUCACAAUGCAGUUGCUUCUUAGGGAUUGAAUUUUGAAAGUUGGAUUUGAGAAAUAAUUGUGUGAUUGUUGCUUGGUACGUUUUCAUGAGGAGCUAUUCGAACCGAGAUUAAAGAAAAUUUUGCACGUUCA